rnacentral:rRNA from 1 species
UACGUAGGGGGCAAGCGUUGUCCGGAAUCAUUGGGCGUAAAGAGCGUGUAGGCGGUCCGGUAAGUCGGCUGUGAAAGUCCAGGGCUCAACCCUGGGAUGCCGGUCGAUACUGCCGGACUAGAGUUCGGAAGAGGCGAGUGGAAUUCCCGGUGUAGCGGUGAAAUGCGCAGAUAUCGGGAGGAACACCAAUGGCGAAGGCAGCUCGCUGGGACGUUACUGACGCAUGAGACGACGAAGCGGUGGGGAGCAAACAGG